AUUGAACGCUAGCGGGAUGCCUUACACAUGCAAGUCGAACGGCAGCGCAAGGAAAGCUUGCUUUCCUUGGCGGCGAGUGGCGAACGGGUGAGUAAUGUAUCGGAACGUGCCCAGUAGCGGGGGAUAACCACUCGAAAGAGUGGCUAAUACCGCAUACGCCCUUCGGGGGAAAGGGGGGGAUUCUUUCGGGAACCUCUCACUAUUGGAGCGGCCGAUAUCGGAUUAGCUAGUUGGUGGGGUAAAGGCUCACCAAGGCCACGAUCCGUAGCUGGUUUGAGAGGACGGCCAGCCACACUGGGACUGAGACACGGCCCAGACUCCUACGGGAGGCAGCAGUGGGGAAUUUUGGACAAUGGGGGGAACCCUGAUCCGGCAAUCCCGCGUGUGCGAUGAAGGCCUUCGGGUUGUAAAGCACUUUUGGCAGGGAAGAAAAGGCACAGGCUAAUACCUUGUGCCGCUGACGGUACCUGCAGAAUAAGCACCGGCUAACUACGUGCCAGCAGCCGCGGUAAUACGUAGGGUGCAAGCGUUAAUCGGAAUUACUGGGCGUAAAGGGUGCGUCGGCGGUUUGGCAAGAAAGGUGUGAAAUCCCAGAGCUUAACUUUGGAACUGCACUUUUAACUGCCAGGCUAGAGUAUGUCAGAGGGGGGUAGAAUUCCGCGUGUAGCAGUGAAAUGCGUAGAGAUGCGGAGGAAUACCGAUGGCGAAGGCAGCCCCCUGGGAUAAUACUGACGCUCAGGCACG
rnacentral:rRNA from 1 species